UACGGAGGGAGCUAGCGUUGUUCGGAAUUACUGGGCGUAAAGCGCACGUAGGCGGCUUUGUAAGUUAGAGGUGAAAGCCCGGGGCUCAACCCCGGAAUUGCCUUUAAGACUGCAUCGCUUGAAUCCGGGGAGAGGUGAGUGGAAUUCCGAGUGUAGAGGUGAAAUUCGUAGAUAUUCGGAAGAACACCAGUGGCGAAGGCGGCUCACUGGACCGGGUAUUGACGCUGAGGUGCGAAAGCGUGGGGAGCAAACAGG
rnacentral:rRNA from 1 species